AUUGAACGCUGGCGGCAUGCCUUACACAUGCAAGUCGAACGGUAACAGGUCUUCGGAUGCUGACGAGUGGCGAACGGGUGAGUAAUACAUCGGAACGUGCCCGAGAGUGGGGGAUAACGAAGCGAAAGCUCUGCUAAUACCGCAUACGAUCUCAGGAUGAAAGCAGGGGACCGCAAGGCCUUGCGCUCACGGAGCGGCCGAUGGCAGAUUAGGUAGUUGGUGGGAUAAAAGCUUACCAAGCCGACGAUCUGUAGCUGGUCUGAGAGGACGACCAGCCACACUGGGACUGAGACACGGCACAGACUCCUACGGGAGGCAGCAGUGGGGAAUUUUGGACAAUGGGCGCAAGCCUGAUUCAGCCAUGCCGCGUGCAGGAUGAAGGCCUUCGGGUCGUAAACGGCUUUUGUACGGAACGAAAAGACUCCUUCUAAUAAAGGGGGUCCAUGACGGUACCGUAAGAAUAAGCACCGGCUAACUACGUGCCAGCCGCCGCGGUAACAC
rnacentral:rRNA from 1 species